GCCUCGAAAGUGUUGACAUUUCACUAUCGACGGGCCGUUCACUAUUCGCCUGCCUCCCCUGCUGGAUCAACUUGCGCAGGAAUUCACUCACGGCCGUUUAGACAUAACUUUUUUAGUUGAAGUUUCUAGGGCAUAAUGGCCACUCACGUAGAUUUGAGCACCGGAGCCAAGAUGCCAAUCAUUGGUCUGGGAACAUGGAAGUCUGUUCCUACCAAAGUCAAAGAUGCCGUGAAAGUUUCCAUUGACCUAGGAUACCGCCACAUCGAUGGUGCAUAUAUCUAUAAAAAUGAAAACGAGAUUGGGGACGCCAUUGCAGAGAAGAUCAAAGAAGGAGUUGUAAAGAGGGAAGACCUCUUUGUUGUCAGCAAGCUCUGGUGCACUUUUCAUGAGAAGUCGGCAGUUAAACAGGCCUGUCAGAAGACUCUGUCUGAUUUAAAGCUGGACUAUUUAGACCUCUACCUUAUUCACACACCUUUGGGAUUCAAAACAGGUUGUGGAGACUUCCCACUAGAUGAAAGAGGCUUAAUUCUGCCAGACAAUACAAAUUUCCUGGAUACCUGGGAGGGUAUGGAAGAGCUGGUAGAUGCUGGUUUAGUGAAGGCCAUUGGUGUUUCCAACUUCAAUCACAAACAGAUUGAGUCAAUACUAAACAAGCCUGGCCUAAAAUAUAAGCCUGCUAACAAUCAGAUUGAAUGUCAUCCCUAUCUUACUCAAGAGAAGCUCAUUAAAUACUGCCAUUCAAAGGGAAUCUCAGUUACUGCCUAUAGCCCCCUGGGAUCACCUGAUAGACCCUGGGCAAAACCUGAGGAGCCAUCAUUAUUGGAUGAUCCUGCAAUCAAAGCAAUUGCUGACAAACACCACAAAACUUCAGCUCAGGUUUUGAUUCGCUUUCAUAUUCAGAGGAACACCAUUGUUAUUCCAAAGUCAGUGACUCCAAGUCGCAUUGCAGAAAACUUUCAGGUUUUUGACUUUGAACUUAGCAAGGAAGAAAUGGAGACAAUCCUGAGUUUUAACCGAAAUUGGAGAGCUUGUCCAAUGCGCAUGGGUGUGGAACACAAAGAUUAUCCACAUAACGAAGAAUACUGAAAGAAGUCAACUUUUCAACCUUACUGGAUAGUUCAACCUAUUUGUGUAAUUUUUAAAAUAUUUUUUUUUUCCAUGUUUAAUUGAAGAGAGUUGCUUGUUCCAAAGUCUUGAAUACCAACGACUGAAUAACGAUCCACUUCCUACUUCCGGCCCCUACAGAUGACGUCACUUCCAGCUCUUUCCUGAUGACUUCACUUCCAGUUCCUGCCAAUAACGUUACUUUCAGCUCUCACCUGAUGACCUCAUUUCCAG